UGUACAUGGGCUAGUUAUAUCAUUUUAGGUGUAAUUAUGACCUGGCUAUUAUUUUCAUUUGGAAAUUAAGCAUGGCAUAAGAAGAUAUGAUUGUGUGUCAAGGUGACAAGGGGUGAACUUCAGAUGGCUCUUCUUGGUUGUCAGCCCGACUACAUUUGGAAUUAACUGAAGCCAAACUGCUGGGUACACCUGUGAGGAUUUUUUUUUCCUUAAGUAAAUCAUUUCAAGUGUAAAAACUAUUUUCUUUUAAUCUGGAUCUUUUGAGGUAAGAAGAUCCACCUUUAGUCAGGGCCACACCUUCUGAUGGCAUUCAAAUAUAAGGCUGUGGAAGAAGGAAGCUUUUGCGGUUGUUUCCUUGCUCCUGCUAGUAAGUCCAUGCCUUCAAUAGGAUUAGAGCCAACUUCAGGAUUCUGGAAUGUUAGGAAGAGCAGCUGAGACUUCUAUCCUGAUAGAAUAAAACAACUGCCUGAUUCUAGGGUUUUCCAUUAAUAGACAGCCAUUGUUCUCUCUGGACCACAGCCUGGAAGCUACUCUAAUUCCCUUUUUCUACAUAUGUGUAGAUUCAUUCUAUAAGGUCUGUUCUCUAAAGAACCUUAACUAAUGCAUCAUAAGAAUUCUCCUUUCUUUGUCUUAUGGUAUUUUUUAGGUCAUUUCUCUUCUAUAUCAGGCUCUUGUUAAUUAGUCUUUUUUGUCUUCUAUACUAAAAAUAAUUUCUGUACCCUGUUUUUACUUUUGUGUUCCUAUUUAUCUAUUUUGUUACUUCGUGUAUUUGAGUUACUUUCUAUUUUCCACUUUGUAUGUCAUCCACUGCUUGGGGAAUUUUCCUCAGGUACCUACACACCCUGAUAUUUGAAACCAAAACUCACUGUUCUGCCUCAAUUUGUAUUUUAUUUUGAAAUAAACAUCAUUGCCUAAUUGCUCUACCCUAAAAUAGAAUCAUUGCUUUUUGUGUUUCUCAUCCCAACCUUGAAGUUGUCAUGUCAUCCUUUUCUGUCUUCCACUCUCCUGGUCUAGAACCUUGUUGAUCAUGCUCAUAUUCUUCUUGAGGUUUGUUUUUGUUGUUGCGUAGUCUUUGUUUUAUACUUCUACAAUACCCGUAUAGCCUUCCACAUAGAUCUGCAUCAUGUAAGCUCAGGUUACUAUGAUUCCCUUCAGUUUCCUUCCAGAAUAUCCAACUUAUAUAACACUUCAAAAAUUAUCUUCAAUCUCCAUUCUCAUGGUAUCUCAUUUUUACUUGGCCCCCAGCAGAUAAUUUUCACCAGUGUUCCAUAUCCUUGUUCUCCAUUCAAGCCUCAGCUUUCAUUACUCUCUGGCAUGUUUACCUUGGUAUAUCACAUUCAAACCUCCUACAGUUCCUAGUGUUAUCUGUUAUCUUACAAGCCUUUGCCUCUGUGCCUUUUCCUCAUGCUUUUUUGCUUAGAUUACUCUUUGACUGUACCUUCUGUUCAAAUUUGCUUCCUUCAUGUCUUUUGAGACAGCAUCUCCUGAUUGAGUUCGCCUCACACCAGCAUCUUCCCUUAUUCUGUCUGCCUAAGCACAUAACUUUCAAGUUUGUACUAUGAUCCAUGCACUCAUUAAUACCUUGCUCUGCAGUUAUUUUCUAGCAGUCUAUAUAGUAGUUUCACAUCUGUAUUAUUUCCAAGUUUAAACUGUAAGCUCCUUGAGGGCAGGGAUUAUAACUGUAACAUUUGUAUCACUGCACUCGCUUUAGUGCCUAGUACAGUGCUGAGCACACAGUAGGUGUUUAAUAAAUGCUUGUUAAAUU
rnacentral:lncRNA from 1 species